CGAUGCGACCCGACGCGGCGCCGGGAGAUGGGCAGCUUCAACAAAAUUUAAAGUUAACGAUGUCCUAAGUAUCGAUUCAACUUAAUUUUCAUGUUGUUCUAAACAACAAGGUGAGAGUGGGGCGGCUCAUGCAAUGGUUUCAUUUUUUAAAUCGAAAACAAUUGAACGAGUUCUUUGAACAGAUGUCGAUCUUGCGGAAGUGAUUAACAUUCAUGUUGACUUUUGGUCUGGUUUGCGCUGAGAACAAAACUUUGUUAACUUAUCAUAAAUUAAUGUUAACAUAUUUGAAGAAAUAUAAGCGUUUUUGCGACGUAGAUUUUUUCGAAAACUAUUUAGGAGUCACAACUAGAUUGUUAAUUUUAUGUACAUUAAAAUCACUUUUUGGUAUUACUCGCGCGACCCGCUUGACAACAACGGUGCUGCACCGGCGUCUAUGUCUCUGAAACUAAAAAAGCUUAGACAAUUGUGAAACUAUGCCACGUCAUUACGGAUUCUCCCGAUCCACUAACGGUGCUUUAGGUACCGCAAGCACCAGUCACCAUCCUCGUCGAACCCGUCGCUUGCGACGAAGGCCCACUGUGUUUCCCGCCGGAUCUUCUCAGUGAGUCGCGUUUCCGAUCCGGUGGUACAUUCUGCGAAGCACUGCUCUUGCUAGGGCCAGUGUUAGCAACACUCCGGUUUGAGCCCUGUGAGCUCACCUACACGUUAGGGUUCAGCUGAAAUAGCCUCUCAAGGCUAUCAAUAUAGGUAAAAAAAAAAGUGAAGCUACCGAAUAUAGUAAGUCGACCUCAUAGUCCGAGGUACCGCCGGCGGCUACGUGAGCGGUCGCCGAAACAAAACAAAGAAGAAUAUUGUAACGACCAAAAUAAAUGUAUAGUUGUUUUUAUUGUUCGUGCAGGCAAAUGAGCAUACGGCCCCUCUAAUGGUGAGUGGUUACCGUCACCCAUGGAUGUCAGCAAACCCAGGGGCAGAGCCAAGCCGCUGCCUGCCUCUAGUCAGUAAAUUAGUUUAGAUUUCAUAUAAAAUAUGUAUUUAUCCUGCCCCAAGUCUGCACAGAGUACGCGUGGAGUAUGUUCGGAUACGUAGCCGCUCGGAACUCGGCGAGCCUUUAGUCAGUGAGAAUAUAGCACCUCAAGCUGCAUUGCACAUUUCUCCUUCAGCACCUGAAGAAUACUUCGUAUCGCAUCUCCCAGCUACAACGGGUCGUUGCUUGCGAUGGCUCAGAGAACUAGAGAUGUGGGUGAAAAGCCUUGAAACACUACCUUAAGUAAGCUCCAAAGCUAGCCAUGGGAUUGGCGUCAGAACAAAUUAAAGCCCGUGAUUAACGUUUUUUCCUCAACUUUUAUUGAAGUAAUAGUUUUUUUAGGGCCGGGGCCGAGCCUCCUACCAGGUCCCCGAGUAAGUGGGACUCCGCUAGGGACCUGCGUCAGCGUCAGUCCGAACUAAGGCAUAUCAUUCAAGGAGUGCGUUCCUUGUGAUUUCAACUUCAAUGCCCCGCGGAUGCCUCAGAACAAAUCUCACACUAACGUUGUUACAGCAAAGAUUGUAGUGUUCUCCGUAGGUAUCGCUGUGAUAAGUCUCAGAUAACUCCUCAGCUGUCGACGUGCAGUCGCCGUUACAUAACCAGAUCCCUUAUCAAAGGGAAUGGAUGUUCUUGUGUGAUAUGAUUAUCCGGUGAUCGAUAAUUUACACAGAACUUAGAAUUUAUAGACAUGUUCCCGUAUUUACAAUUUUAUAAUUCUUUAUUUAAAGAACUUAUGGUAAUUUAAAGCAUUGAGCAUAUGAAUAGAAUACAUUUUAUUAGGUUAUGUUGUUUAUUAUGUUAUGUAUAUGACGGCGUUAACGAUAUUUCUGUUUAGCACGUGCAAUAGGAGUGACUCACAGAAGCCAGGUGCGCCGGCCGUGUCGUUCGACUCGUAAACAACAGGUGCAACAGAAGUGACUCAUAAAUAAGCCAGCUGCGCCGGCCAGUAUAAAAAGGCGGUACGUGCCUCGCAAUGAACAUUCGCUGGACUGCGUUUGCCUGGUGCAUUUACUAUAUCCUUGUUACGUUGUGUGAUUCAGUGACUGUUGUACGUACUGGUUAAAGUUGGACAAGUGUUAAAGUGAAUUGUUAAGAUAACAUAUUGUUGAUUAAAUCAGGAAUCAAGAAGUGACUUCGUUUUACUUGGUGUUCAGCAAGAUAAUGUCUACCCUCAAGCUUAUAUAUAUGUAUAUGUCGGCACACGUCAGGGAUGGCUGAGCGGUAGUUUCGUCAUCACUCGUAUUCGAUUGAACUCAGUUUAGUCAAUAAAACUUUUCAAUAAUAAUUAUUGAAACUCAACACACACAACUUUCACAAUGACAGGAUAAACCGACAGUUUCGUUGCACAUACCGACAGACCGACUGACUGACUGACUGACUGUCAGAGACUCACUACUGAGACGGACGGAAUCACUGUCUGACACGAGUGCCACGACUCUGUCCACGUACCGCCAUUUUAUACUGUGGCGUUACGGAGUCUACCCUUCAUUUUGUGAUAUUUAUCAAAACAACAUUUCAUCAUUUAAAAUAAUAAUCAAAACCACCAUCUUAAUAUUACUAAAAGUCGUUAUCCACGACAACUAAAAGUUAUCCACGACAUAUAUAUAUAUAUUUUUUUUUAUUGCUUAGAUGGAUGGACGAGCUCACAGCCCACCUGGUGUUAAGUGGUUACUGGAGCCCAUAGACAUCUACAACGUAAAUGCGCCACCCACCUCGAGAUAUAAGUUCUAAGGUCUCAGUAUAGUUACAGCGGCUACCCCACCCUUCGAACCGAAACGCAUUACUGCUUCACGGCGGAAAUAGGCGGGGUAGUGGUACCUACCCGUGCGGACUCACAAGAGGUCCUACCACCAGUGAUUACGCAAAUUAUAAUUUUGCGGGUUUGGUUUUUAUUACACGAUGUUAUUCCUUCACCGUGGAAGUCAAUCGUGAACAUUUGUUGAGUACGUAUUUCAUUAGAAAAAUUGGUACCCGCCUGCGGGAUUCGAACACCGGUGCAUCGCUUCAACACGAAUGCACCGGACGUCUUAUCCUUUAGGCCACGACGACUUCAUAUAUAAAAUAUAACAUAACAUACAUAUAUGUAUGUUAUGUUAUAUUUUAUUAUGUUAUCAGAUGUUAAGUGGUUAUCGGAAGAUUUUUCUUGUGAGUCGACGUCUUCGUUUUCUGAAGGUCGUGUCUAAUUUGAUAACUGUUCUAUCAUCACCCGCGGCAUAACUCCUCUCCAUGUGUCUCUAUCAUCGGUAGUCCCAAACGGUUCAGAUAUUGAUAUGACGGUAAGCGAUGCUAUCCGUUUUGACCAGCACAUAGGUCACUGACCACGUGGUCUUUUCCCGUCGAUGUGACCUAUCAGCUUUUCGUGGUUGUUAGGAUUUCUCUUCAAAGUACAUAGUUUCGUAUGCGUAUUGUAGAAAAUGUUAUUUUUGUGUGGAGCUCUUCUAGAAUGGGAUGCGUAACGUUGCUUUCCAACACCACAUCCCAAAUGCCUCGAUCUUGGAUCUCUCUUUGUGAUACAAUGUAAUUCAUAUUUGGACGUCGUGUGGACGUUGGAAGGGUGUCGUUAUUCUCAUCGUGAUGUCUGUGGGCUUCUGCAACUCAUAACCUCGAGUGAGCUGUCAGCAGGUACACUCAUGUCUGCAUAACAACAUAACGUUUCACUGUAGACGUUGUCUUCAGAUACAGACAGACGUCGGGCCGCUGGACAAGGCCGAAGAAGUAUUUGAUCCGCUCGCUGCUCUUGCCGCCACCGGCCCGCCCGCGCACACUGCCACGGGCCCGUGGGCUUAUCUUGUAUGCCUGUUUCUAGUUCCUUUGUUUGCGUAAGCCAGGGGAUAAAUCUUAGAGCCAUGACCGGGAUUACUGGUGGCUUGGAAGCCUUUCGACUUUUAAGGAGACCUAACAACUUAAAAGCAGUUCCUUCACGAAUGAAUCCACCACCGGAACGAAAUCGCGACCCGCUGAGAAGAUCGAGCGAGAAACUCAGCGAGCUGAUAUAUUAUUAUGGGUUAAGUUGCACGUCGAGCUUUUUGCCGAGUCCGACGAGUACGGUUACCGGGAUCCCUACUCCUAGUGUUAGAGCCGAAGGCGUCUAAUGCAAGAGUUAUUAGCUCCGAUGGAUCAGUAAGGUGACUGGCUCAUGCGUGAGCAGGAUUCGAGAAGUACUCAACGGCGACAACGAUAAGGCGAUUACCAGGAUGCAUAGUCUUAUCGAAGUACCGUUCCGACACUGACUUAAUAUGUUUUCGGAUCGAUUCGUAAAUUUGUAAAUUAAAUUAAACAUUUUCUUGUCACAA